rnacentral:misc_RNA from 1 species
CAGAGUUCAGUGCCCUCGCGGGUAGAUCCUCCCACCCUUGUAUACAUUACACUUGUUGCUUUGGCAGGCCGCUAGGCUUCGACCUGGCACGGCUCCUCGGGCUUCGCGUGGCCUGCCAGGCAGGACCCCAACUCUGGUUAUCUGGUGAUGUCUGAGUAGCUAUAUAAUAGUUA